rnacentral:misc_RNA from 1 species
UCGUAACAAGGUUUCCGUAGGUGAACCUGCGGAAGGAUCAUUACCGAGUGAGGGCCCUUUGGGUCCAACCUCCCACCCGUGUUUAUUUUACCUUGUUGCUUCGGCGGGCCCGCCUUUACUGGCCGCCGGGGGGCUCACGCCCCCGGGCCCGCGCCCGCCGAAGACACCCCCGAACUCUGUCUGAAGAUUGAAGUCUGAGUGAAAAUAUAAAUUAUUUAAAACUUUCAACAACGGAUCUCUUGGUUCCGGCAUCGAUGAAGAACGCAGCGAAAUGCGAUACGUAAUGUGAAUUGCAAAUUCAGUGAAUCAUCGAGUCUUUGAACGCACAUUGCGCCCCCUGGUAUUCCGGGGGGCAUGCCUGUCCGAGCGUCAUUGCUGCCCUCAAGCCCGGCUUGUGUGUUGGGCCCCGUCCUCCGAUUCCGGGGGACGGGCCCGAAAGGCAGCGGCGGCACCGCGUCCGGUCCUCGAGCGUAUGGGGCUUUGUCACCCGCUCUGUAGGCCCGGCCGGCGCUUGCCGAUCAACCCAAAUUUUUAUCCAGGUUGACCUCGGAUCAGGUAGGGAUACCCGCUGAACUUAAGCAUAUCAAUAA